GAAAAACUUCCUCCUAUUAUCUAACAUAAACUUCCCGUCUUAGUUUAAAACCAUUCCUUCUUGUCCUAUUGCUGUCAUUUCUGAAAACUGUCAAGUCUCCAUAUUGACAAAUGAGAGAAUGCCUUUGGCAACAUAAUAAUAAUUACUGAAUAGCCUGUGUGUCUGAAUUUCAGGGAGACGAAAACCCAAAUUGACAUUGUUCUACCUGUUGUGGACGUGCCCUAUUUCUUCCAUGGAGAACAUUAGCCUGAAGCAGCUCCGUGAAAUGAAAAGGCUCUGCAGGACUCAAGGUUUGGGGCAGAAAGGAGAAAAAUGAAUGUAGAUACAGUCACAGUUGGCUUUUGCAGGUAAAGGUGUACUUGCAACAACAUCGGAAAUAUGUAGAGGAAUUAAAGGACUCACUGAUGCUGGGUCAUAGGAUUUGCUUUGAGUUAUAUGUAGCCCAGGGUGGUGACAGACUGGGACUAAGAGACUGCCUGAGCUCUGUGCUCUCCUGUCUCCCUCUCCAAGGCACAAGGUUAUCCCUGGGGCUAUAAAUUUGUGGAAUAAUAUACAAUAAGAAGAAGCUCUUAAGACCAGAUCUCUUCAUUCUGGUGCUUACCUUCAUAUUUUGAUUUUGAAACAGAAAUUACUUUUGUUGGGAUCAAUCAGGAUGAAAUGUGUGCACACUCUCUUUUUGAUCUCUCUUGCCUCUUUGGGAAGCAGCUGAUUUCAUCCACACUUAGUCUCCUGCCUUAUCUCUUGUCAUUCAUGUCUCUUCUCGAUACCUUUUUUUUGUUUUGUUAUUUUUGUUUUUAUUUUUGUUUUUGCUAUUGCAAUUAAAGCUCCAGGAUCCUUGCUUUUGAGGAAGGAGCCAAUCAAGGCAACCCUUGAGCUUCUCUAGCAUCCUUUGAAGGACGGAAGCAUAUCCUCAGCACCUGGAGCCCACCUACCUCUGUCUUGGAAGGGCCAGCAAAGCCUAAGGCAGCAAUAUCCUGCCCCUGCAUGCAGCCUGUGCACAGCCCACCCACAGUGCCCACCCUCAGCCCUGCACACUGUGGGAUGUGACACAACCCCACCGUGGUGGACACGUCCCCACCAGGCGCUUGGUGACCUCCGCACCACAGGGCUGAUGUAUGCCCGAGGGACCAGCAAGGCUGGGCUGGGAGCUGUGGCAUGCUGCAGCUGGCACCCCACAGACCAUUCUUUAGCUCUGUUUUGUAUAAACCCUUGUCGUUGUAGCACUUCAUCUGGUGUGACGAGCACGCAUGGUUUUUCUCUCCGCUUUCCCCCGAGGAGAGCCUGGUGUGGGCAGUGCAGCAUUUCUGCUUCGCUCUGGUUAUUUUAGAAACAAACUUAAAAACAUAUGUUCAUUUCUGUUCGUUUAUGUGACAGAGGCAAGGUCGAAGAGAUAGGCCUGGGAAGGGGAGCUGAAACCUCCCUGAGAGCUGGGAGAUCCUAUUACACAGACUUUACUGCAGGCUGAUGUUUAAGUUUCACUAUAGGCUGCUCCACCACUGUAGUUUUAAAUGCCCCUUUCUUUUAUAAAUCUCUUCCUUUUGUCUCCUUCUCCUUCCCUCACUUUCUUCUUCUGGACAAUUUCACGCUCGGGACUACCCUCUGUUCUGCAGAAAUAUUCGUACAUACUAUAGGGAACACAUUUGUACAGUUAUUUUAGUCUUAAUUUUUUCCCUAUCUAGAUCCUUGUUGCAUUGCACACAGCAUCCCUGCUCCACAGUUCUUACCUAAAUCUCCACUUCUGUGAGGGCAGCCUGUACCUCUGAAAUAGGUACGUGUUAAUAGAAUCAUAGAAUCAUAGAAUUACUCAGGUUAGAAAAGACCUUAAAGAUCAUCAAGUCCAACCACAACCUAACCAUACUACCCUAACUCUAGCAGCUCUCUGCUAAACCACAUCCCUGAGCACCACAUUCAAUCCACCACCCCAAUAGGGCAACAAAAGGGGCUGACAGGGAACAGCAAUGGGCAAUGGAAGGUUUCCUUGUGAAAAAAAGCCAGAAAUGGCAUGUCUGGUUUUCAUUCUUCAUCACAGCAAAAGGAGAGUUUUGUGGUGCUGGUGGAGAGAAAGGUGGGGAGGGGAGAUUCCAGCAGAUAACAUGUUGAUACUGGAGACAGUAAAGGUAAGGUGAGGGUGGUGCAGACCUGACCUGCAUCUUGUGGAGCUUAUCUCUGAGGCUGCUCCCUGCCCAGGCAGCCCUUGGAGGUCUCAGAAGUGAGAGGAAAAAGGAAAAAGCACAUGACGAUUAAAUUAACUGAAAGGAGAGUGCUUGGGUAAGAUGCAGUCAGCUGUGGGCACUGAUAAAGGCAGCUGUCGUGGGUUUCUGGAGUGUUUUGAUAAAGUCUUGCACUUUGUUGCUGUGAUGGUGCUGUUGAAAAGUGACUGGUAACUGAAGAGACUUGAGGUUGUCUAUCGUGGUGUGAAAACGCUAAGAUUUUUGGCAGGAGUACUUCUUGUUCUUCCUCCUCAGGACAUUGGUGGGAAUGCAACUGCACAUUUCAGUGGGAGCAGUGUAUGACCCAUGAUGAGUCCCUCUGCAAACCGAGAAACAUUCUCUCAACCACUUCUGAGAUGUCUGGAUGUCAGUAGAAGUGAUCACAGUCCCCUUUGUUGUUCAGAAAACAUAUUUGCCAUAGCGGAGCAAUAAACUUUCCCAGAUUUUAUUUCCUAAAAAAAAAAGUCAAUUAAAUAACAGGUUGGUUGCAUUUGUAAACAAAGCAGUCUGAAUGCAGUGCUAACAGAAAGCGUCAGGGACUUUUACAGUUUUUAUAGCUUUUUCCCUGGGUGAUUGCUUUUUAGAAAACUCAGUGCAUAUGAUUCUCUUUUAUUAGAAAAUAAACAGAAAACACAUGCCCAGAAACCACUUCAAAAGGUCUGUCUCCAAUGCCAGUGCUAGAACUGUGUAGAAUCUCCUUAUGAAAUGAGAAAGCAGACAAGUUUUUUUCUGGCCCUUUGGUUGAAAGCUCUGGCCAGCGUAGUGAAAGGUUUAUGAACCUUCUGGAGAGUCUCCACUGCAUGUAUUGAACUUACACUGCUGUUCUGCUACUCCUUUGAAAAUAGGGGAAACCCCACAGCCUGAGGAUGCAAACCAAGCAGUGGGAAGAGGAAGGGACGGAACAAAAAGGUCUCCACGAUUCAGUCACUGUCCACAUGCCUGGUGUCCAGACCAAUCUCACUCAUCGGGAGCACACAGAUGUGAGAAUGUAACUGUAUGCUGCUUAUGAAGAAAAUUCUGUGAAAUUGAUUUUGUCACUAGGGCUGCUUUUUGACCAUUCUAGUGGUGCAACAUGACAAGCCAUAGCACCAAAAGUGGGGAAGGAAAAACUUUAUAAGCCUGCCUAACUCCAGGCUGAAGCUGCUGUGUGAAAAGGAAUCCAGUUGAACAAAGCUCAACAGAAGUUAUGCCAUGCCACAUUGCUGUGGGAGAACGU